UACGUAGGGUGCAAGCGUUGUCCGGAAUUAUUGGGCGUAAAGAGCUCGUAGGCGGUCUGUCGCGUCGGCUGUGAAAACCCGAGGCUCAACCUCGGGCCUGCAGUCGAUACGGGCAAACUAGAGUACUGCAGGGGAGACUGGAAUUCCUGGUGUAGCGGUGAAAUGCGCAGAUAUCAGGAGGAACACCGGUGGCGAAGGCGGCUUUCUGGACAGAUACCGACGCUGAGGCACGAAAGCUAGGGGAGCAAACAGG
rnacentral:rRNA from 1 species